CUACGGGAGGCAGCAGUAAGGAAUAUUGGUCAAUGGACGCAAGUCUGAACCAGCCAUGCCGCGUGAAGGAUUAAGGUCCUCUGGAUUGUAAACUUCUUUUAUUUGGGACGAAAAAGGGUCUUUCUAGAUCAACUGACGGUACCAGAUGAAUAAGCACCGGCUAACUCCGUGCCAGCAGCCGCGGUAAUACGGAGGGUGCAAACGUUAUCCGGAUUCACUGGGUUUAAAGGGUGCGUAGGCGGGUAGGUAAGUCAGUGGUGAAAUCCUAGAGCUUAACUCUAGAACUGCCAUUGAUACUAUCUAUCUUGAAUAUUGUGGAGGUAAGCGGAAUAUGUCAUGUAGCGGUGAAAUGCUUAGAUAUGACAUAGAACACCUAUUGCGAAGGCAGCUUACUACGCAUAUAUUGACGCUGAGGCACGAAAGCGUGGGGAUCAAACAGGAUUAGAUACCCGGGUAGUC
rnacentral:rRNA from 1 species